UUCUGUCAGUGUGAAUGUAUGACAGUCCAGCGCGUGGAGUGUGCUUUCUCUACUCUAUCCAUACACGCGAAUCCUGCUGAAAUCCAUAAGACCGACCUGUGGACGCUUUUAGCCAUGGUCUUUAUACUCCAUCCCUGAAUGAGAUGAACUCCCACCUGCUGCAGUUUCUAAAGGUACUCUGAGAGCGUCAGCCUGCCGUUUCGGUAA